AUUGAACGCUGGCGGCAUGCCUUACACAUGCAAGUCGAACGGCAGCACGGGGGGUAACCCCUGGUGGCGAGUGGCGAACGGGUGAGUAAUAUAUCGGAACGUGUCCUGUAGCGGGGGAUAACCUAUCGAAAGAUGGACUAAUUCCGCAUACGACCUACGGGUGAAAGCGGAGGACCGCAAGGCUUCGCACUAUAGGAGCGGCCGAUAUCGGAUUAGCUAGUUGGCGGGGUAACGGCCCACCAAGGCGACGAUCCGUAGCUGGUCUGAGAGGACGAUCAGCCACACUGGAACUGAGACACGGUCCAGACUCCUACGGGAGGCAGCAGUGGGGAAUUUUGGACAAUGGGCGCAAGCCUGAUCCAGCCAUGCCGCGUGAGUGAAGAAGGCCUUCGGGUUGUAAAGCUCUUUCGGCGGGGACGAAACGGUUCGUGCUAAUACCACGGACUACUGACGGUACCCGCAGAAGAAGCACCGGCUAACUACGUG
rnacentral:rRNA from 1 species